UACGGAGGGUGCAAGCGGUUAUCCGGAUUCACUGGGUUUAAAGGGAGCGUAGGUGGCUUUGGUAAGUCAGUGGUUGAAAUACCGCAGCUCAACUGCGGAACUGCCAUUGAUACUGCUUAGCUUGAAUCACGUCGAGGUGGAUGGAAUAAUACAUGUAGCGGUGAAAUGCUUAGAUAUGAUAUUAGUAACACCGAUUGCGAAUGGCAGUUACACUAGGCGUGUAUUGACACUUGAGGCUCGAAAGCGUGGGGAUCAAACAGG
rnacentral:rRNA from 1 species